rnacentral:rRNA from 1 species
GAUGAACGCUGGCGGCGUGCCUAACACAUGCAAGUCGAGCGAACAGAUCAGGAUCUUGCUCCUUUGACGUUAGCGGCGGACGGGUGAGUAACACGUGGGUAACCUACCUAUAAGACUGGGAUAACUUCGGCAAACCGGAGCUAAUACCGGAUAAUAUUUCGACCUGCAUGGUUCGAUAGUGAAAUAUGGUUUUGCGAUCACUUAUAGAUGGACCCGCGCCGUAUUAGCUAGUUGGUAAGGUAACGGCUUACCAAGGCGACGAUACGUAGCCGACCUGAGAGGGUGGUCGGCCACACGGGAAGUGAGACACGGUCCAGACUCCUGCGGGAGGCAGCAGUAGCGAAUCUUCCGCAAUGGGCGAGAGCCUGACGGAGCAACGCCGCGUGAGUGAUGAAGGUCUUCGGAUCGGAAAACUCUGUUAUUAGGGAAGAACAUACGUGUAAGUAACUGUGCACGUCUUGACGGUACCUGAUCAGAAAGCCACGGCUAACUACGUG